rnacentral:sRNA from 1 species
GAGUGGUAUUUUCGAUAAAAUAUAUGUAGUUGAUAAUUACUUUUUGCAUCCCUUAUUUUAGUUGAAAAAAAAUCAUUGAACGAAUUGGGCGACGGUCAUCAAUUCUACUGGCAGUGCCUGUUAUAGUGAAAUAAAAGUAUAAUAUAGUGAGUGGAAAAAUAGAUAACUCCAGAUCUCAUUUAAAUCAAUAUUUAAAAACAACAAGAGUCAGCUAGUCUAGAACAGAGGAGAACGGUAAUAAAGACAGACGUAGGAGUCUGCUUUGCGCAGCUACGUAGAAGCUAUUAAUUUAUAAAUUGCGACAACGUUAUAUCGUAAU